rnacentral:rRNA from 1 species
CGUGAGACAGGUGCUGCAUGGCUGUCGUCAGCUCGUGUUGUGAAAUGUUGGGUUAAGUCCCGCAACGAGCGCAACCCUUAUCCUUUGUUGCCAGCGAUUCGGUCGGGAACUCAAAGGAGACUGCCAGUGAUAAACUGGAGGAAGGUGGGGAUGACGUCAAGUCAUCAUGGCCCUUACGACCAGGGCUACACACGUGCUACAAUGGCGCAUACAAAGAGAAGCGACCUCGCGAGAGCAAGCGGACCUCAUAAAGUGCGUCGUAGUCCGGAUUGGAGUCUGCAACUCGACUCCAUGAAGUCGGAAUCGCUAGUAAUCGUGGAUCAGAAUGCCACGGUGAAUACGUUCCCGGGCCUUGUACACACCGCCCGUCACACCAUGGGAGUGGGUUGCAAAAGAAGUAGGUAGCUUAACCUUCGGGAGGGCGCUUACCACUUUGUGAUUCAUGACUGGGGUGAAGUCGUAACAAGGUAACCGUAGGGGAACCUGC